CUACGGGGGGCUCCAGUGAGGAAUAUUGCACAAUGGGGGGAACCCUGAUGCAGCAACGCCGCGUGGAGGAUGACGCAUUUCGGUGUGUAAACUCCUUUUAUAUGUCAAGAAAAUGACGGUAGCAUAUGAAUAAGCACCGGCUAACUCCGUGCCAGCAGCCGCGGUAAUACGGAGGGUGCAAGCGUUACUCGGAAUCACUGGGCGUAAAGGACGCGUAGGCGGGUUGGAAAGUCAGGUGUGAAAUCCUACAGCUUAACUGUAGAACUGCACUUGAAACUUCUAAUCUAGAGUAUGGGAGGGGGAGAUGGAAUUAGUGGUGUAGGGGUAAAAUCCGUAGAUAUCACUAGGAAUACCUAAAGCGAAGGCGAUCUCCUGGAACAUUACUGACGCUAAGGCGUGAAAGCGUGGGGAGCAAACAGGAUUAGAUACCCUCGUAGUC
rnacentral:rRNA from 1 species